GUCCACGCCGUAAACGAUGGGCAUUAGGUGUGGGAGGUGUCGACUCCUCCCGCGCCGUCGCUAACGCAUUAAAUGCCCCGCCUGGGGAGUACGGCCGCAAGGCUAAAACUCAAAGGAAUUGACGGGGGCCCGCACAAGCAGCGGAGCAUGUGGUUUAAUUCGACGCAACGCGAAGAACCUUACCUGGGCUUGACAUGUCGGUGACCGGUGUGGAAACACAUCUUUCCUUCGGGACACCGUCACAGGUGGUGCAUGGCUGUCGU
rnacentral:rRNA from 1 species